rnacentral:rRNA from 1 species
ACGUAGGGCGCAAGCGUUAUCCGGAAUUAUUGGGCGUAAAGAGCUCGUAGGCGGUUUGUUGCGUCUGCCGUGAAAGUCCGGGGCUCAACUCCGGAUCUGCGGUGGGUACGGGCAGACUAGAGUGAUGUAGGGGGGACUGGAAUUCCUGGUGUAGCGGUGAAAUGCGCAGAUAUCGGGAAGAACACCCGUGGCGAAGGCGGCUCUCUGGAACGCAACUGACGCUGAGACGCGAAAGCAUGGGGAGCAAACAGGA